rnacentral:rRNA from 1 species
UUUAUGGAGAGUUUGAUCCUGGCUCAGGAUGAACGCUGGCGGCGUGCCUAAUACAUGCGAGUCGAGCGAACAGAUGAGGAGCUUGCUCCUUUGACGUUAGCGGCGGACGGGUGAGUAACACGUGGGUAACCUACCUAUAAGACUGGAAUAACUCCGGGAAACCGGGGCUAAUGCCGGAUAACAUGUUGAACCGCAUGGUUCUACAGUGAAAGACGGUCUUGCUGUCACUUAUAGAUGGACCCGCGCCGUAUUAGCUAGUUGGUGGGGUAACGGCCUACCAAG